ensembl:misc_RNA Metazoa_SRP Metazoan signal recognition particle RNA
GCCAGGUGUGGUGGUGCAUGCCUGUAAUCCCAGCUACUUGGGAGGCUGAGACAGGAGAAUCACUUGAACCUGGGAGGCAGAGGUUGCAGUGAGCCGAGAUCCUGCCACUGCACUCCAGCCUGGGCGACAGAGUGAGAUUCUGUCUCCA